UACGGAGGGGGCAAGCGUUGUUCGGAAUCAUUGGGCGUAAAGGGCGCGUAGGCGGCCGAUCAAGUCGGGUGUGAAAUCCCUCGGCUCAACCGAGGAACUGCAUUCGAUACUGCUUGGCUAGAGUCCGGGAGGGGAUGGUGGAAUUCCCAGUGUAGCGGUGAAAUGCGUAGAUAUUGGGAAGAACACCGGUGGCGAAGGCGGCCAUCUGGACCGGCACUGACGCUGAGGCGCGAAAGCCAGGGGAGCGAAUGGG
rnacentral:rRNA from 1 species